rfam:Mus musculus chromosome 7, GRC primary reference assembly.
GGAGUGAUAGCUCAGCAGUUAAGAGCACUGACUGCUAUUCCAAAGGUCCUGAGUUCAAAUCCCAGCAACCUCA